GAUGAACGCUGGCGGCGUGCCUAAUACAUGCAAGUCGAGCGAACAGACGAGGAGCUUUCUCCUCUGACGUUGGCGACUGACGGGUGGGUAACACGUGGAUAACCUACCUAUUAGUCUUGGAUAACUUCGUGAAACCAGUGCUACUACCGGCUAAUAUAUUGAACCGCUUUGUUCAAUAGUGCUUGACGGUUUUGCUGUCUCUUUUAGCUGGUUCCGCGCCGCAUUAGCUAGUUGGUAAGGUAACGGCUUACCAAGGCAACGAUGCGUAGCCGAUCUGAGAGGGUGAUCGGCCACACUGGAACUGAGACACGGUCCAGACGCCUACGGGAGGCAGCAGUAGGGAAUCUUCGGCAAUGGGCGAAAGCUUGACGGAGCAACGCCGCGUGAGUGAUGAAGGUCUUCGGAUCGUAAAGCUCUGUUAUUAGGGAAGAACAAAUGUGGAAUUAACCAUGCACGUCUUGACGGUACCUAAACAGAAAGCCACGGCUAACUACGUG
rnacentral:rRNA from 1 species